rnacentral:lncRNA from 1 species
UAUAUAUAUACACACACAUACACAUUUUAUAUAUUAAAUGUACUUGAAUUAGAUUGUGAGGUGGAGAGUUCUGCUUUCCAGAAUUUAUGUGUAUUUUAUUUAUUUAUUUAUUUUGAGACAGAGUCUUGCUUUGUCGCCCAGGCUAGAGUGCAGUGGCGCGAUCUCGGCUCACUGCAAACUCCGCCUCCCGCGUUCAAGCAAUUCUCCUGCCUCAGCAUCCUGAGUAGCUGGGAUCACAUGUGCCCGCCACCGCACCUGGCUAAUUUUUGUAUUUUUUAGUAGAGACGGGGUUUCACCAUCUUGGCCAGACUGGUCUCAAACUCCUGACCUCAUGAUCCACCUGCCUCGGCUUCCCAAAGUGCUGGGAUUACAGGCAUGAGCCACCGUGCCCGGCCUUAUGUGUAUUGUAAUACAUAUAUAUAUAUAAAUUCUGGAAAGCAGAACUCUCCACCUCACAAUUUAACUCAAUUUCCAAGAGCCUUUGAACACUUAAUGUGUUCAAUACUGGGAAUACUAUUCAAACUGAUUUCAAUUCAGCUAAACUUAGCAAACAAGAUUUAUCCUAUAGGAAGUCUUACUUUACAAUGAUUGAAGACGUUCAGUACUUCAUUAAUGAAAUCGUCUUUCCAGCUUCCUAUCAACAAGAAUUUUUAAAGUGCCUACUAUACAAAGCAUUUUCCUAGUUGAUCCCACAGAGUCACUUGGGGCAGAUUACCAGAUGCUGAGAAGAAAAAACCCUUCAUCAGAGGUGGAGGAAAAAUGGAUUUCAAGAGUGCUUCUGGUUUUUGUCAGGAUGGACCAGAGAAUCUGGAACAGUCCUGAAGAAAAUAGCUGGUGGCUUCCUUGGCCUUUUGCCAUCAAUGAUGCUUCUUACUUGGAUUUAAACUGCCAUUAGGAAACCUCUUGAUCAAGAAUUUAGACAAGAAUUUCAUUCCCAUGUGAUAAUUUAGGUUAUAACACUAGAAUGGAACAAAGAGUAGAAUGUCUUUAGUUCUUUAUUUUGCAUUAUGUCAUAAGAAAGUUCUUGCUAUGUUGUAAAAUCGUUGUUAGAUUCAGGCUUUUGGGGAUUCUGAAAACACAUUUUGUUAGAGUUGAAGUCUAUUACCUGAGAAAGGUAAAAUUGUGUCAUAAUUGUUCAUCAUACUAGGUAUUAAGGGUAGAGACAAGUUACUUCAAGGUAUAGAAACACUGACCAGUACUCGACUGUGAAAAACAUCUUUACCUUUAGCAUUUUUUUUUUGAAACAGUCUCGCUCCGUUGCUCAGACUGGGGGGCAAUGGCGCAAUCUCAGCUCACUGCAACUUCCACUUCCUGGGUACAAGCGAUUCUCAAUCCUCAGCCUCCUGAGAGUAGCUGGGACUACAGGCGAGCACCACCACACUUCGCUAAUUUUUUGUAUUUUUAGUACAGCCAGGAUUUCGCCACGUUGGCCAGGCUGGUCUCAAACUCCUGAGCUCAGGCGAUCCGCCUGCCUUGGCCUCCCAAAGUGCUAGGAUUACAGGCAUGAGCCACUGCACCUGGCCUGUGAAGAAACAUCUUUUAUCAAUGCUUCCUAGACUGGUAGGACAUAGGGUGAGAGGCGAGUGGUGGUUCGUUCUUGAUUAUGUUCAGAUCUUGAAAGAAUUCAACAUUAGGGAGAGAAGCCUUAUCAAAAGCCUCAAAAACUCUACUGAAGGUAAUAUGAUACCUGAUUCUCACUAUGGCUUUAUUUAAAAUAGAAGAAAUAAACCCUUCUAAUAUCUGCAUCUUAGUCUUCUGAAUUAAACUCAUUGACUAAUAAAAGAUUUUUACUUUGGAGGGUUUAGCACUGCAUCAAAAAGGAAGCAGAUCUCUCCUAUUUGUUAAACGCUAAGGAAUGAAAGAAAAUAACAAUAAAUCUGACCUCUUUUUGUCAUAUGGCACAUUAAAUAUCUUUGAAAAAAACCCCAAAACAAUAAUAACAAAAGCUUGCCGCUCUAAAACGUUUAAAAUAUCGGACACAAUAAUAAAUUUUUAAAAAUGCAAGGCUAAGCAGGUUUUAAAAAGUAUAGGGACUCUCCAAGAGGAAAACAAAACCAGGAGCAGAAUCCAAGGAUAUAGGGAAGCACUGAAGCCAGCAGCUCCCUUACUGACAGUGCCAAUCGUGGAAUGCCAACAGCUUUAGUUUUAACUGUAUGCAAGGGGCUGGUUACAAAGCUGGGGGUUAAGGGAGAAAGAUUUAGAUAGGAGACCACAGCAUACCACCACUAAAUCUUCAGUUAAAAAAAUUCGUAAUAUACUUUCAGAGCAUAGCUGAUGAUUUGCCAAGACAGACAAGCGUUCAGAUCACUAAAGGUGUAACCAUUAGGUAGGUGACUUAACCUCCCAGAACUUCAAGUUUCUUAUAAAAUGUAGGUAAUAGUACUUUCCUUUAGGAUUUACUUUUUGAGGAAUGGAGAUAAUACAUGUAAAUCUUUCAGAGUGGUUUUUAAUAGACAAUACAUAAUGGCUAUCAUUAAUCACAAUGGUUCAGGUAUGUGUGUUUUCUUGUGGACCCAUCAGGGUUUUCCAAGAUUCCUGCCUGUACCCAGCCAAGAAUUUAGGGGGCAGGGGAAGCCUCUGGGGUUUCGUGUUGUCUUGGAUAUUGAUUUCCAUUUCUUCUCCCUUUCCAUACCUUACAGCUGGAUAAAAGUAAGAUAAUGGUGACUAAGAAAAACUUGUAAUUUUUUUCCUCAGUCCUUAUUUUUACAUUUUUUAUUUACAUUUUUUUUUUUUUUUUUGAGACAGGGUCUCCCUCUGUAGCCCAGGAUGGAGAACAGUGGCUCUAUCAUGGCUCACUGCAGCCUCAAACUCCUGGGCUGAAGUGAUCCUCCUACCGUAGCCUUCUGAAUAGCUAGGGCUACAGGCACAUGCCACCAUGCUCAACUAAUUCUUUUUAGUUUUUUGUAAAUAUGGGGGUCUUACUGUGUUGCCCAGCAAGAUCCCCAUAGUUACAACUUUUUAGUUUUGAACUCCUAGGCUCAAGCAGUCCUCCUCCUUUGGCCUCCUGAAGUGCUAUGAUUACAGGUGUAAGCCACAAUGCCCGGCCCUUUAUUUUAAGAUCUGAAAUACGAGCUGUUUACUGGAGUUCAUUAAUAUAAAAAACUAGGCCAUUUUUCACUUUAUCAUUAGAUAAUCAAUUUACAUUUUAAUUGCCAAAAUAUCUGUAAUUGAAAAGCUGUUGAAGAAAAAAAGGGAUCUUCUGUACCUGGAUUUUACUGUUUACUGAUAAAAAAUUACCAUUUGAACAACAUCUUUUAAAGUCAGGUUUUCUUCAUAAGGUUUAAUAUUGUUAAAAUUUAUUAAAUCUAGUAUGUAUAAUUUGUGAUCCUUCUUGUACAAGUGUUGAAAUGAGUGCUGUAAAAUCAACCAAAUGUUUUGAAGUUUUGGUGAAUAUAUUCUGAUGUAACUUGCUUUCAGUUACCCACAGUUCAGAUCUUAGAACUUUUCAGAAAAUUUUUAUGGGAAUUGAGAGAAAAAUGUCUGCAAAUUGGCACUGAAACAGUGUUUUUAUUUGCAUAGUUGACUUUUUGUGUUUGGAUGAUAACUUUUGCCAAAGGCAAUUUUGAGUAGAUCUUUUCACAAAAGAAUCCUAUUUUAAAACUUUAAAUAAUUUGUUUUCAUUAAAUCUAAUCAUUUUGUUAUAAUUGAAUUCCAUGGGUAAAGAAUCUUUAACUUCAUAUACUUUUAAUACUUACAUAAAACUAGAUACAUUAAAAGGUCAAUAUUAAUUAUCAAAACUUAAAUUUUACCUUGUUCAAAUACAAGAUUACUAAAGGCUUUAGAUUUUUUAAGGCAUAUUAUAACCUUAACAUUCGUAUUUCUUGAAAGAGAUAGACAGACACUUGUUUAAUGUGCAUAGAGUUUAUUUGGUACAUCUAUCAAUUUCUACAAUAACUGACCAAAAACAGUUCACACAGUGUCCACCUGCACUCCAUGUCUAAAAUGAUUUAUUUAGUAGGGUAUUUUGCAAGGCUAGAAAGGAGAGAAAGGAUUUCACAGUAUCAGUGAAAACUGUUUUAUCAUGAAACAAAUGUAAUACAUUAAUAUAUUCAUUCAUUCUCUAUUAGAAAACAGCAAAAUUACAUUGUUAGUUGUAUUAUUUACAGUGAAAACUUGGAAGACUUGACAAAGCAUCAGUUAGUUUAUCAACAGACCUAGGAAGCUCCCUGUCCCCUCCUUUCAGGGUCCUUUCCUUGGAAAUGAAAUAAACUUAAAUCAGAUUUUACAUAACUUUAAGCACCAGCUUGACAAUUUAAAGUUUUAUUUCAGUUUUAUAAAAUACUCCUGCUUUGAAAGGCAAAGUGAAUGUAAAAAUGUGAAUGUAAUUAAACAAGUCACUGGCCUGGAAACUUUUUAUUGCAAUAGUCUUUAUGUUUUACUACUAUAUUCACUUCUUGGAAUGAAUUUGCUUGUAGGUUUGAAACAAAAUAUUUGCCUUUUGUCUUGAAAAAUUCCCUUAAAAAAUUAAUUAUUUUUGGAACUGUACAACUACAUUUUCAUUCGAUGUUAAAUAUGCAACUUGGUCCUUGGAUAUCAUGUUACAAAGUCCAACCUGUUGGAUAACUUGUUAUAGAAAACAAUAAAAAACCUUAAACUAUCAUAAAAUAUUACUGAUGUUAACAGUCAUGUAUGUAUAACACAUCACUGUAUCUAGAUUUUCCUGUUAUUGGAUGUUUAAAUUACCAAUGUACAAUCAGGUUUUAAAAUGUAAUACUUAAAUUUCCAUUCACUAUGUAAAAUUAAAAGCUCUAAAAGAC